CAUUGGCAUGCUGCAGUUCGAGUUCUUCAAUAUAUCAAUUCAUCUCCAGGCAUUGGCACCCUUCUUUCAGCCAAUAGCCCUCUCAACGUUCAUGCAUGUUCUGAUUGGGCCUCUUGUCCCAUGACUUAGUGCUCUACAAUGGGUUAUUGAACUUUUCUUGGUUCUAGUCUUAUUUCAUGGAAAUUCAAGAAACAAUCGAUAGUUUCUCGUUUUCUGCUGAAGCCGAAUAUCCUGCUAUGGCUUUUACUACUUGCAAACUCCUUUGGCUCAGUUAUCUUAUUCAUAAUGUUUGAGUCAAAUUCACUACCGCCAAACUAUACUGCGACAAUCAAGCUACUCUCCACAUUGCCUCCAAUCCUGUUUUUCAUGAGAGCACUAAACGCAUAGAGCUUGACUGUCAUCUCGUCCGAGACAAAAUUCAAGAUGGUUUUCUUCAAACAUCCUAUGUACCAAGUCAUCUUCAACUUGUGGAUAUAUUCAGAAAGCCACUUGGUAGGGACCAAUUUUUAUCUCUUGCUAGCAAGCUUGCUCGAGUAUUUCAUUCUACAAGCUUGAGGGGGAUGUUUGACGGUAUCAAAUCUGAAAGAUUUGAUAACAAAUCAAACUCAAAUUACUUUUGUUAUGCAAAGAUCAAAUCUCCGGCUUGAUCGGAGUCUUGAUUCGAAUCAACUUAGUUAUUUUAUGCAGUUGUAAAUUCCUUCUUUAGCUUCUGUAAGUUUGGUUUCUCAACAGCAUGUAAACUCUAUAUAUUGAGCUAGCUACAGUGAAUGAAAAACAUCAAAUUCCACUUUCUUCAAUGUGCAAGUUGACGAUUUAUUAGUCAGUCAAUUCCCAAUUCAUGCAUGCAAAAAAGGCUUUGCGUGAAGACACAUUGUAUCCAUAUGCGAAAUCAAUAAAUGUAUCUUCCCAAACUCUUCACAUGCAUGCAACCUCAAUUCAGAUAUUUUUAGUCUUUCUUUCACCUGAUUUUAAGCAGAACCUAUAACAGAUAUUUUUAGUCUUUCUUUCAAUAAUUUUCUCGCCGCUUUAGUCAGGAGACAUGAUUUCUUUAAUAUUUUUUUGACGUGGAAAUCACAACGAAUUGAUGCGCUGGUGGCUUGUUGGAGAUAUAUAUGUCGAUUUUUCUUCCUUGACGAUAACAUUUGUGCCUGGACUUACUGCUUCACGCAAAUCAAUCUAUCGUUUAAGAGGUGGCGAUCUGAGGUGAAGGAAAAGUAUUUCAUUCAAAUAACAAACGAUUGGGAGCGCUUCUGGCAUCUUGACGAGCGUGUAGAUGGAGUAGAAUUUUUUACACUUUGUGAUUACUGGGACACGGCUGAAAUCCAGGCUCAAGCUGAAAUAGCAAGGAGGAAC